rnacentral:rRNA from 1 species
AGUGGGGAAUAUUGCACAAUGGGCGCAAGCCUGAUGCAGCGACGCCGCGUGAGGGAUGGAGGCCUUCGGGUUGUAAACCUCUUUUAUCGGGGAGCAAGCGAGAGUGAGUUUACCCGUUGAAUAAGCACCGGCUAACUACGUGCCAGCAGCCGCGGUAAUACGUAGGGUGCAAGCGUUAUCCGGAUUUAUUGGGCGUAAAGGGCUCGUAGGCGGUUCGUCGCGUCUGGUGUGAAAGUCCAUCGCUUAACGGUGGAUCUGCGCCGGGUACGGGCGGGCUGGAGUGCGGCAGGGGAGACUGGAAUUCCCGGUGUAACGGUGGAAUGUGUAGAUAUCGGGAAGAACACCAAUGGCGAAGGCAGGUCUCUGGGCCGUUACUGACGCUGAGGAGCGAAAGCGUGGGGAGCGAACAGGAUUAGAUACCCUGGUAGUCCACGCCGUAAACGGUGGAUGCUGGAUGUGGGGCCCUUUCCACGGGUUCCGUGUCGGAGCUAACGCGUUAAGCAUCCCGCCUGGGGAGUACGGCCGCAAGGCUAAAACUCAAAGAAAUUGACGGGGGCCCGCACAAGCGGCGGAGCAUGCGGAUUAAUUCGAUGCAACGCGAAGAACCUUACCUGGGCUUGACAUGUUCCCGACGACCUCAGAGAUGGGGUUUCCCUUCGGGGCGGGUUCACAGGUGGUGCAUGGUCGUCGUCAGCUCGUGUCGUGAGAUGUUGGGUUAAGUCCCGCAACGAGCGCAACCCUCGCCCCGUGUUGCCAGCGGAUUAUGCCGGGAACUCACGGGGGACCGCCGGGGUUAACUCGGAGGAAGGUGGGGAUGACGUCAGAUCAUCAUGCCCCUUACGUCCAGGGCUUCACGCAUGCUACAAUGGCCGGUACAACGGGAUGCGACAUGGCGACAUGGAGCGGAUCCCUGAAAACCGGUCUCAGUUCGGAUCGCAGUCUGCAACUCGACUGCGUGAAGGCGGAGUCGCUAGUAAUCGCGAAUCAGCAACGUCGCGGUGAAUGCGUUCCCGGGCCUUGUACACACCGCCCGUCAAGUCAUGAAAGUGGGCAGCACCCGAAGCCGGUGGCCUAACCCUUGUGGGGGGAGCCGUCUAAGGUGAGGCUCGUGAUUGGGACUAAGUCGUAACAAGGUAGCCGUACCGGAAGGUGCGGCUG